rnacentral:pre_miRNA from 1 species
UCUUAUGAAUGAGCAAAGAACGUGGUUUCUUGAGAUAGAAUCUACUCCUGGUAAAGAUACUGUGUA